UACGUAGGGGGCAAGCGUUGUCCGGAUUUAUUGGGCGUAAAGAGCGUGUAGGCGGCUAGAUAGGUCCGUUGUGAAAACUCGAGGCUCAACCUCGAGACGCCGGUGGAAACCAUCUAGCUAGAGUCCGGAAGAGGAGAGUGGAAUUCCUGGUGUAGCGGUGAAAUGCGCAGAUAUCGGGAAGAACACCGGUGGCGAAGGCGGCCAUCUGGACGGUGACUGACGCUGAGACGCGAAAGCGUGGGGAGCAAACAGG
rnacentral:rRNA from 1 species